rnacentral:rRNA from 1 species
GACGAACGCUGGCGGCGUGCUUAACACAUGCAAGUCGAACGGAAAGGCCCUGCUUUUGUGGGGUGCUCGAGUGGCGAACGGGUGAGUAACACGUGAGUAACCUGCCCUUGACUUUGGGAUAACUUCAGGAAACUGGGGCUAAUACCGGAUAGGAGCUCCUGCUGCAUUGUGGGGGUUGGAAAGUUUCGGCGGUUGGGGAUGGACUCGCGGCUUAUCAGCUUGUUGGUGGGGUAGUGGCUUACCAAGGCUUUGACGGGUAGCCGGCCUGAGAGGGUGACCGGCCACAAUGGGACUGAGAUACGGCCCAGACUCCUACGGGAGGCAGCAGUGGGGAAUAUUGCACAAUGGGCGGAAGCCUGAUGCAGCAACGCCGCGUGCGGGAUGACGGCCUUCGGGUUGUAAACCGCUUUCGCCUGUGACGAAGCGUGAGUGACGGUAAUGGGUAAAGAAGCACCGGCUAACUACGUG